rnacentral:misc_RNA from 1 species
GUCACGCCCGAAGUCAUUACCUCAACCGCAAGGAGGGGGAUGCCUAAGGCAGGGCUAGUGACUGGGGUGAAGUCGUAACAAGGUAGCCGUACCGGAAGGUGUGGCUGGAUCACCUCCUUAAAGGGAGACCUAAUUCAAGUAAAAGACGAAAAAAAAGUAGUCGCUACCAAGAAUCAAUCCCAAAAGGUCGGAGCGAGGCGAAAUUGGCUUUCAAACUAGGUUCUGGGUUCAAACAAGACCUGAAUCAGGAACAAGAGCUAUUAGCUCAGGUGGUUAGAGCGCACCCCUGAUAAGGGUGAGGUCCCUGGUUCGAGUCCAGGAUGGCCCACCUGUACAGGUGGCAAAAAGAAAGAAAAGAAGCGAGGAAUCAGCACCUUAUCUUACUGACAUAGUAAGAGAGAAUGCUGGCUCUGAGUAAAGAGUCCAGAGGAACCUUGAAAACUGCAUAGAGCUAGGUGAAAAAGCCAAAAAAGAAGACCGCAAGGUCAAGCUAAUAAGGGCUAACGGUGGAUACCUAGGCACACAGAGG